rnacentral:rRNA from 1 species
CUACGGGUCGCUCCAGGCGCGAAACCUUUACAAUGCACGAGAGUGUGAUAAGGGGAUUCCGAGUGCUGUAGUUAAAACUGCAGCUUUUAUUGAGUUUAAAUCGCUCUUUGAAUAAGGGGUGGGUAAGACGGGUGCCAGCCGCCGCGGUAAUACCCGCGCCUGAGUGGUAUUCACUUUUAUUGGGUUUAAAGCGUUCGUAGCCGGUCUAACAAGUUCCUGGUGAAAUUCCACUGUAAACGGUGGAGCUUGCUGGGAAGACUGUUAGACUUGGGACCGGGAGAGGGCAGAGGUACUCAUGAGGUAGGGGUAAAAUCCUGUAAUCUUAUGGGGACCACCUGUGGCGAAGGCGUCUGCCUGGAACGGGUCCGACGGUGAUGGACGAAAGCUAGGGGAGCGAUCGGGAUUAGAUACCCCCGUAGUC